UUACUUACCUGGCAGGGGAGAUACCCUUCUUCUCAGCUUUGAAUGACUUGGUAUAGUUAGAAGGUGGAGAUCUGUCCAUUGCACUACAGGCAAGUACCCCUGCAAGAGUCUACAAAUGGCUCCAAAUGUGAGAGUCUCAGCUACACAAUUUAUGGUAAUGGGGGAUUGCUCUUGGACUUUCCCUCU
ensembl:snRNA U1 U1 spliceosomal RNA